rnacentral:rRNA from 1 species
UAACGCGUGGGAAUCUGCCCUGGAGUGGGGGAUAACCGAGAGAAAUUUCGGCUAAUACCGCAUACGUCCUGAGGGAGAAAGAUUUAUCGCUCUAGGAGGGGUCCGCGUCGGAUUAGCUAGUUGGUGGGGUAACGGCCUACCAAGGCAACGAUCCGUAGCUGGUCUGAGAGGAUGAUCAGCCACACUGGGACUGAGACACGGCCCAGACUCCUACGGGAGGCAGCAGUGGGGAAUAUUGGACAAUGGGGGCAACCCUGAUCCAGCAAUGCCGCGUGAGUGAUGAAGGCCUUAGGGUUGU